GGAAUAUAGGAGAUUAAAAGAAUAAUGUGUCCAAAGUCCAAAAAGCUGGUUAACUCGCACAAAGCACAGGCAGUGUGUUGAGUUGAGAGAGAGAGAGAGAGAGAGAGAGAGAGAGAUGGAGAGGGAAGGGUUAGGGGAGGCAGUAGUAGGGAGGUGCAUGAGUAGCUACGUGGACCAAGGUAGCACGGAGAGUCACAGAUACUACCUGUCGCGCAGAACUGCGAUGGAGAUGCUGAGGGACCGAGGAUUUUCUGUUCCCGCCUCCGACCUCGCUCUCACCCUCCCUGAAUUUCGAGUCAUUCACGGCCCCAUUGUCGAUUACGACCGCCUCCGCUUCUCCGUUACUCAUCGCUCUGACCCUUCCAAAAGGAUCAUGGUCAUUUUCCGUGGGCAUGGUGUGGUGAAAGUUAACGACGUCCGUAGUAUUGCAUCUCAGAUUGUCAACAAAGACAGUUUAACUGGGCUUAUUUUGAUUUUGCAAAACCAAAUGACAAAUCCGGCACAGAAAGCUUUGGAUCUUCUCCCUUUUAAAGUGGAAAUAUUUCAGAUUACGGACUUGCUUGUGAAUAUCACAAAGCAUGUGUUGAAGCCAAAACACCGUAUACUAACUGAUGAAGAGAAGCAGAAACUUCUAAAGAAACACAGCAUUCAAGAAACGCAGCACUUUCUAUAUGCUAAUGCAUAUUGAAGUCCAGUGGCCAUAUUUGGAAAAAGUGCUGUCUAUCAUGGCUAUGUGAAGCUCAACAUGUGGACCGGCCCCUGCAUUAGGUGGCCACCUAUUGUGUGUUGCAGCACCAAUGGAAGCUGUCCACAUGGACAGUGACCUGUUCAUGGCUGUGAUGGAGAGCAUCACUCUAUUUGGACUGAUCGACUGGCUUCCCAUUUUGGUUCAAGUUAAAACUAGAGGGCGUGAUGCCUGGUAAACUUUAGCUGCCUCGGAUGUCGAGAAAAGAUGCAAUUGCGCGAUACUAUGGACUGGAAAGGGGGCAGGUGGUGAAAGUUACUUACAGUAGUGAAAUUACGAAAUCCCACAUCACUUAUCGAUGCGUCUGGUGAUGCCUGUCUUGGUGCUUCUUUUAGUUUCAUCGUAGUGAUUUUUCCUUUUGUUUUUCUUUUUCGGUUUUCUCUGAGAUCUAUCUCAGUGCGGUUGUACGACUACUUUUACGUUUAAUGCAAUUGGUAAGCUGGAUGAGAGCUUAUUUUGAGCGGUAA